CUGCUUGGCAGCAGAUAUUCUAAAAUUGGAACAAUACAGAGAUUAGCAUGGCCCCUGCACAAAGAUGAUGGAAUUCCUUUAUUUGUUGUUGUCGUUU
ensembl:snRNA U6 U6 spliceosomal RNA